GUCUACGGCCAUAUCACCCUGAAUGCGCCUGAUCUUGUCUGAUCUCAGAAGCUAAGCCGGGUCAGGCCUGGUUAGUACUUGGAUGGGAGGUUUUAUUUAUUUCCUUGACAGAGAGACAGCGAGAGGGGGAAAACA
ensembl:rRNA 5S_rRNA 5S ribosomal RNA